GGAAGUAAAAGUCGUAACAAGGUUUCCGUAGGUGAACCUGCGGAAGGAUCAUUACUGUGGGCUGUUCUUCGGAAAGCCCGCGAGAUAGCACCCUCUGCUUUUUUGAGUACCUCUUGUUUCCUCGGCGGGCUUGCCCGCCAACGGGGACCUCAAUUCAACCUUUUGCAGUAGUAUGAAAACGUCUGAUAACAAUCUAAAUCGUUACAACUUUCAACAAUGGAUCUCUUGGUUCUGGCAUCGAUGAAGAACGCAGCGAAAUGCGAUAAGUAGUGUGAAUUGCAGAAUUCAGUGAAUCAUCGAAUCUUUGAACGCACAUUGCGCCCCUUGGUAUUCCAUGGGGCAUGCCUGUUCGAGCGUCAUUUGAACCCUCAAGCUCUGCUUGGUGUUGGGUGUUUGUCCCGCCAGAGUGCGUGGACUCGCCUUAAAGUCAUUGGCAGCCGGCCGCCUCAGCUCGGAGCGCAGCAGAUUCAGCGCAUCGAAGUCGGGAGCGGUGGCAUCCAGAAGCUCUUAUUUUCUACGUUUGACCUCGGAUCAGGUAGGGAUACCCGCUGAACUUAAGCAUAUCAAUAAGCGGAGGA
rnacentral:rRNA from 1 species